UGGGGAAUAUUGCACAAUGGGCGAAAGCCUGAUGCAGCGACGCCGCGUGAGGGAUGACGGCCUUCGGGUUGUAAACCUCUUUCAGCAGGGACGAAGCGCAAGUGACGGUACCUGCAGAAGAAGCACCGGCUAACUACGUGCCAGCAGCCGCGGUAAUACGUAGGGUGCAAGCGUUGUCCGGAAUUACUGUGCGUAAAGAGUUCGUAGGCGGUUUGUCGCGUCGUUUGUGAAAACCAGCAGCUCAACUGCUGGCUUGCAGGCGAUACGGGCAGACUUAAGUACUGCAGGGGAGACUGGAAUUCCUGGUGUAGCGGUGAAAUGCGCAGAUAUCAGGAUGAAAGCCGGUGGCGAAGGCGGGUCUCUGGGCAGUAACUGACGCUGAGGAACGAAAGCGUGCGUAGCGAACAGG
rnacentral:rRNA from 1 species